CUGAAAAAGAGGAAAAUCAAACCUUUUUUUCACUUUAAUUUCUUCUUCGUAGGGCUGGGAUCUUGGCCGUGUUACAAACAGAUGCUGCUUGUCAUUUGCUCGUAGUGCAGGGAGGCAGUUUGUAGAAUUAACAGGCUUCUCGCUUGCGUAUAGUUCUUAUUGCUGCCGCGCGCUAAAGCAAAAUUGUAAAAACACCAAAAAGAAAAACUGGGUUUUCUCUCUUAUCGCCCACUUUUCUCCUUCUCCCUCCUUCUCUCCCCCUUCACUAGUUUCUCUUCCCUUUGCCUUUUUUCUUUUGUCUCACUCUUUCUUUACCCUCUUCUCGAGCUGCCUUUCAGGGUGCUCGUGCUACUGUAGUUGCAUGUUUGAGCCUUUUUUUGUUCUUCUUUUCGAUGGGCCACAGUGGAAAUGAUUGCCCGUACCUUCUGCCAAAGCACCGUAGGCCCUGCAGAGUAGAGAAAAGAAACAUUUGGAAACUAAACGUAAAGGCAAAUCGCACGGGCAGGAGAAAGAAAAAGACUGAGGGAGACUCUCUGGGAAGGAAGAGAAGGGAGAGGGAGGUAUGCUUUUUCUUUUUCUCCUGUCUUCCCUCCUUUCCACCUCUGCAUGUGAUUGGAAAGAGAAAGCGGAGCGAGACAAGAGAUCAGCAGGCACAUUGGUUUUUGUCCUUUAACUUGGGUGUGCGUGCACGUCCUCCCCCUUUGUCACCAACCUGCGCCCGAGACCUGCAGGUUUGGACACAAAGCAGUGAGCUCGGAGAGCAGCGAGCGAUUGGGGCAUCCUGGAUCCAAAGGGGAGGAAAAUCCUGCAGGAUCUGCAGUGGAUGUGGAUCUGCAGGAUCCACAUGUGCGCGCCGACCUGGACGAGGCACCUUCGACUUUCUGUUCAAACUGAACAGGCGUCCUCUGACGUGUGUUCAUGAAGAACGUUCAGAGCUGCGAUCCUUCUUUGGCGCCGAUUACCUUAAAUGUGAAAUAGAGGGUGCGAUUUAAAGCUUAAAACUCUGUCCCAGUACUGGAGCUGUCUGAGAUGAAUAAACUUCCAUCUAAUUCCUGUCUCAGUGAACUGUCUUGGUAUUGUAGCUUCAUGCUGCUCUGUUCAUCUGUGGUGGCUGUGAUGCUUUUGUUUUAGCCUUCACAAUGUGCUUCUAGUGGAAACGGAGCGAAGAGCAGAAUUUGUAUCGUGUGUGAAGUUCCUGUUAGAUCAUUUAACAAAGCCGGCGCUCGUUAUAACCGACACGAUACUGAAAUAUGCUGCAUCUCAGAUUUAAGCCAAGCUACUGAACAGCACUGCAGCUUGACAUACUGUACAGAGCCUGUUACGACCUGCCCAGCAGUCUCGUGUGACUCAAUUCACCAUUUUUUCUCCAAACCCAGUUUUCCGACUGGUUAAUGUGCUCCAUUAAUCCACACACACGUGUGUUUUUGGAUAUUUCCAGAUGAUCCAGUUGUGCUAUUUUUAGACUAUUUGUCACAAGUUGUUUUAUAUUAUAUUCUGAUGUAAACUUCGAUUCACCCUCCUGUGUUAUCUCAGUUUGUGGAAUUAUUUGUUUAAUUCAAACCGACUGUGGUGAAUCUGGACGCCACGUUUGUUCAUAUAGAUACUUCAAUUUCUUCUGAAUAAAUAUAGAAGUUUUUUCUCUUCCUUCUGAUGUGUCCUGCGUGUCUAAAUAAAACCUCACUGCUGUCAUUUCACGUGACUGUCAAUUCUUUCAACUCUUACACUUAUUAAUAGAAGCUCUGUGUGAAGCGUGAGAUUCGGCCGUCUAACGUGUUUUUAUUUCAUCUUUGGGAGUAUUUUUAUACUCUAUUAUUAAAGCUCCUACUGUUGUUUUUGUUUCUGUGAGUUACGGAGACGUGUUACAGGAUCUCCUUAAAAACAAUAAAUUAAAAAAGACAGCUGACGAGGACGAUGUCAGUCUUCUUUCAGCUCUGUCCAUAUGUCUUUAAAUGAGACAUUUUUAUAUUGUUGUGAAACAUGAGUCUUUUUCUGACCGGACCUACAUUAAUGUUUGCAUGAUUUAUUAAAAGUGUGCAGAUAUCAAUAAGUGUUUCUUUGUUGCUUUUAGAGGAAAAUAAGCACAUUCUUGGUUUCAGUGUUGUGGUUGUGUUUUUCAGGCUGUGCUCAGGCUUCGUUGUGUAACAGCUUUUAAAUGACUUUGUCUCUGUCUCUCUCUUGCAGCCUUUUAGACCAGGUCAGGACAUGUCGGGGAACAGUUCAUGAACACGAGAUGCAUAUAACAACCAGCUGCCCACACGCUGUGUAGACAUCUUUCUUUUAUAGCUUAUAGUUUGACCAGGACAUGCGUGUGAUCUCUGACAGUAGGAGCUGCUUUUUAAUGCUUCACAUGUCUCUGUAAUGUAAACAUGUAAAUAAAGUCUUAAUGAAAUGUCCUUGUUUUCUGUUCUUUGACGAAAUGUACCAACAUUUUAACAUUUAUGGGAAAUGAAGAAUGCUAACACAGAUGUGCUAGUGUUAGCUAAUGUGUUUCUUAUUCAUAUAUGAAACUUAUUCACUGUGUUGGGCGAUUUCUAGUUUUCUGCUUCAAAGUAUAAUUGUUGACAUGCAAACACUAGCAUGCAGUGUUUUGUGAGCAGUGCAGUGUUUAAGAUAUCAGUGCUAAUGUACCCCAGUAUCUUUGGUCACAUGUCAACAUGGUUAACAGUCCAACACCACACGUGGUGAAUUUUUAUACACUUUGAAAAAAUGUCUAGUCCGGUUUAAGCACAAUGCAACACAGUACCUUUAAGUGGUACGGCUAAAACUGUGAUAUAUGCAGUGUACUAGUACCUCCAACCUAACAGUAACAAUAUUCUCAAAAAGUAUACUAUUAAAUUUGAUACAUAGGUCACAGGAGAAUCCUCACGUUUCACCGGUCCAUGCAGCACAGUUCAUUCUACCUCAUCCUGCCUCCUCAUCCUUACUGAUUCACCACAUUUCCAAGAAGUACUUUGAACACCCCGAGAGUUCUGUCUGGACUUGUUACUUCCACAUAGCUGUUGGUUUAAUAUUGGACGGUGAUAACGAGACGGAUUAUGGACACAUAAAGCUUCUUUUGCAGAAGGAUUAGUGAGUGCGAAGAUGGUAUGAGAGUACACGGGGCCUGUACCUUCUCCAGAGUUCAUCCUAUGGUUGGUGAAAUCAGAUCAUAGCUAUAGCUUCACACACAUACACAUACAGGGAAGAUGAUGCUGCAAAUAAUAGUGUAUUUUUUGGGAAAAUCAAACAAUAUCAAUUUAGAAUAAAGGAACAUUUUUUUGUGUUCAUUGAAAUAAUCUUUGAAUAAAGUGACGCACUAAUGGAUCGUUCAAAGUUGUCGUCUUCAUUUUAUUUUCACUUCUUAAAGAAACAUCACAUUUGUAACUACACAUUUUUCUCAGUGAGCUGAAUGCUAGAGUCAGCCAAUAAUAAUGAAUCAUGUCAGUUUCUGCUCACAGUUAUCAGGUAAGUUCAUCAGGAUUGACUUUAGUGGCUUUCUUUACAUGCAGAGUCAUUUAAAGAAUGAGUAUCUAACAAACACACACUAUGUUAAACCUGCGGGCACAUAUUUGGAUGUAUUUCACUGUUUCCACACUUGGAUGUCCCGAGCCUCUCACCUCCACGUGAGUCCAUCUAACACUCGUCCUGUGAUUUGCC
ensembl:lncRNA